rnacentral:lncRNA from 1 species
UGCAAUGCACGUGCGUAGGAGAAGGACACGUGCCAUGGGUUUGGUGCCUGGUUCAUUGCAUUCAGGUUGAGUGUUGCCUCCACCUCUGACUGUCCUCCGGAUAAGAACUGCAACAAAACAAAAACAAAAACAAGAAACAAUAUUACUUUUACCUCAAGCCACCAAUAUUAGGUUUUGCCUCUUGUGUAUUGAAUCGAACAUGUUUUAACUGAAGAAUCAUCGUGAAGAGAAGGAGAGAACUUGCCAUGAUUCCGGGGACUGCGGGAGGGACUCUGUUGCGGAGGAGCUUGAGGGUGUAGGCGGCAACUUUUUCAGGAGUAACUCUGUCUUUAGACUCAGCUCCGGGAGUCACCAUACUCGGUUUCAGGAGGAUACCU